rnacentral:rRNA from 1 species
GUGGGGAAUUUUGGACAAUGGGCGCAAGCCUGAUCCAGCAAUGCCGCGUGCAGGAAGAAGGCCUUCGGGUUGUAAACUGCUUUUGUACGGAACGAAACGGUCCUGGCUAAUAUCCGGGGCUAAUGACGGUACCGUAAGAAUAAGCACCGGCUAACUACGUGCCAGCAGCCGCGGUAAUACGUAGGGUGCGAGCGUUAAUCGGAAUUACUGGGCGUAAAGCGUGCGCAGGCGGUGCUGUAAGACAGGCGUUAAAUCCCCGGGCUCAACCUGGGAAUUGCGCUUGUGACUGCAGUGCUGGAGUGCGGCAGAGGGGGAUGGAAUUCCGCGUGUAGCAGUGAAAUGCGUAGAUAUGCGGAGGAACACCGAUGGCGAAGGCAAUCCCCUGGGCCUGCACUGACGCUCAUGCACGAAAGCGUGGGGAGCAAACAGGAUUAGAUACCCGUGUAGUCC